GUUGCUGUAGAACCGCUUCUAAUUGUCUAUUAAAUUAGA
rnacentral:rRNA from 1 species